rnacentral:lncRNA from 10 species
UUUUGGUAGAGGCUUUCAAAGUGUAAUAAUCACAUCAUGGGAAAUGGGGUAGCCCUGUCCUCAAGCAUUUAUCCUUUGUGUUACAAACAAUCCAAUUUUACUCUCCAAGUUAUUUUAAAAUGUACAAUUGAAUUAUUAUUGACAAUAGUCCCCUAGUUGUGCUAUCAAAUACUAAGUCAUUAUUUAUUCUUUCUAUUUUUUUUGCACCUAUUAACCAGCCCCAGUCCCCUCCCCAAAUACCCUUCCCAGACUUUAGUAACUGUCCUUCUAUUCUCUACCUCCAUGAGUUCCAUUGCUUUGAUUUUUAGAUCCCACAAAUAAGUGAGAACAUAUGACAUUUGUCCUCCUGUGCCUGGUUUAUUUCACUUAACACAAGAAUCUCCCAGGAUGUUGGUCUGGGCAAAAAUUUCUUGAGUAAUACCCAGUAAGCACAGGCAGUCAAGGCAAAAAUGGACAAAUGGGAUCACAUAAAGUUGAAAAGCUUCUGCACAGCAAAUGAAACAAUCAACAAAGUGAAGAGACAACCCACGGAAUUGGAGAAUACAUUUGCAAACUACCUCCCAUUUUUUGUACAACAUUGUGCCACUGGGUUUCAGUGCCGCAUUUCAGUGGGAGUUGCCUCAGUCAAAUAUUGGACAAUGGCCUUCAGGGAGAUGCUAAAUAUAGAAUGUAGUUCUGAGUAGGAAAUGAGUGAAACUUCCCAAUCUCCUUGCCGCAACCUCAACUGAAGGGUGGACAAAAAGCAAACACAUGCCUGGCCAGAACAGGGGUACCAAGAAGACGUUCAGCUAACAGCAACCAACGUUGCACAGCAGAAUAUGAGAAUGACACUAUCCUUAGUGAUUCCAGGAACACUUGAGGGACACUUGAGAGGGGCUGACAUCCUAAGUAAAUAGACAGAACCUGUUCCAUUUUUAUGAAGCA